rnacentral:tRNA from 1 species
UCCCUGAUGGCUCAGUGGUAAAGAAUCUGCCUGCAAUGCAGGAGACCCAGGUUCAAUCCCCGGGUGGGGAA